UUUUAAGUAUUUUAGGUAGGUAUCACCAUUUAGGUUGGGUAGAAGUAAUUCUUAAAUCUCCAGAAGCAAUCAUAGAUAGGUGGAAGCCGAUAGUCAUUACUAGGCAUCAUGAUUAGGAAAAACAGCCUCUCUCCAAUGAUCCUGAAUGAGCCCUUUGAAUUCAUCUCCUGCAACUGAUCUCCCUGUGGGGAGUGCUAGGGGAGUGGUGAGGGAUGGGUGACAGGAGGGGACCCUAACCCAAUGUAGCUCGGAGCAGGUGAGUUUUAGGAGCAUUUCAGUACCAAACACAGCUUCACGACCGAGAAUCAGCAGUCAUCCCCAGCUUUCCGUUUCAUUUGCUAACCUCUCUAGGAACAACUGGAUGUUGUAAAUGUUUCUCAUCUGGUCUUAAAAUCCAUGAAAGCUGGAAAAUCCCAAGGCAUCUGUGCACAUACUGGUGGAUUUUAAUGAGAGUCCUGUGCUUGGAGCACCAGAAAUAAACCAGCUUCAGAAGCAAAGUAAGAAAAGGCCCUUGAUUGUGACACUGGCCACGGGCAUUACCAUAUGUAGGUGGUAAGUGGACGUUUCUGGGACACCUGUCCUGCAAACUUUCUUUCCACCCUAAGCUGACUUUUGAAAUUGUGCCUGACUGAAAAACUUCUAAGGGGAGAGGUGGUUGGGCCCUCCAGGGGUCCUGUGUUUCUCCUAGGGGGGCAUCUCUCCCUAAUUCCACGUGGUCCUGGUGGUGCUGUCCACCAUGCCGGCAUCCUCGCUCCCGGGGGGACCAGGGGACAAGGAACCCAAUGGGGCUGGGCCAAGGAGAGUCCCCCGAUCACAAUCCCUGGUUCAAAAAUGGCCACGUGCCUGAGGAGCUUUGAAACUACAAAAAUGUCAUUUCCUCCCGAGAACGAAGUUAACAGGAGGAGGAAGCAGAGCUAGAGAAGGAACGAGACCCAGCCAGCCCAGGCUCCAGUGACAUCAGCUGGUACAUGCUCGUUUGCUUACGCGUGUUAAACUGAGUUUUUCAUAUGUAACGAAUACUGGCACAUGGUAUUUGCUGUCUUCAGCUCGCUUUCUCCCCCUGAUAUUCGUGCCUGGCUAUAAUCCCAACUGAAAUCAAAUGCUGUCUGGAAAUCUGACCAAAGAAGCACAGUCCCACUUCCUGCUUCCAUCUCCCCACGUACCAAGGACCACCGUCUACUUUAAGAGAACACGGACAAUUCACCUCUAUAAAGGCACAGCGAGGGAAAGGAGUAGGAAGAGGUGACAGUGGAUCAUGGGGCUUCUCUUGAAGACACUUCCCAGUGACGAACGCUCAUCAUCCAUUUACUGACUUAUCCUUAUGCCACUAGGAUCUGAAUUAUCUAUGACACUCUUUCGAGCUGACACAGUGAAGAACAUGGAAGGAGAACUCACCCAGUCUGCCAGGGUCACAGAUGAUCAUACUCAAGAUCUUCCUGGGGAAUCAAUGGCAAAUUUCACUGGGCUAUUUUACAGAUGAAGAAGGAACAUAAAGAAGGUUCUAGGACCUUGAAGUCCCCGGAAAACCCACUAUUACCUGAUCUCUGGAGCUUGUCAUUUGGCCAAUGGACCCUAAUAAACAUGUCCACGGGGAUGUGGGGAUAGAAUGCUGGAGCCUGGCUCACUUGGGCAGCCAGGUUCUUCCUCUUUGCCCUGCUGUCUCCAGGCACCAAGAAUUUCCUACAGUUCCCCAAAGAUGAACCCCCCCAUUAUCUCAGGUCACUGUUUCCCCUGAUCUUUGCCAAAUUCCUGACUCAGAGUUCCUCCCAUUUGCUUCUGACUCUCAUUCUGUUCUUACAAUGUUUACCAUUUCUGUUGUUCUCAGUGUCCCUCUCUCUGAGUGGUAAGAGUAUGUUAAUAAGCCAGUGCUGUGACCAGAGCACAAGGCAACUGCUCAGUGUUGGUCAUUGCCACUGUUAUUAAAUGUAACUUAAAGGAA